AUUGAACGCUGGCGGCAUGCUUUACACAUGCAAGUCGAACGGUAACAGGUUAAGCUGACGAGUGGCGAACGGGUGAGUAAUGCAUCGGAACGUGCCCGAUCGUGGGGGAUAACGCAGCGAAAGCUGCGCUAAUACCGCAUACGAUCUGAGGAUGAAAGCGGGGGACCGUAAGGCCUCGCGCGAUCGGAGCGGCCGAUGUCAGAUUAGGUAGUUGGUGGGGUAAAGGCCCACCAAGCCGACGAUCUGUGGCUGGUCUGCGAGGACGACCAGCCACACUGGGGCGGAGACACGGCCCAGAUGCCUACGGGAGGCAGCAGUGGGGAAUGUUGGAGAAUGGGCGAAAGCCUGAUCCAGCAAUGCCGCGGGCAGGAAGAAGGCCUUCGGGUUGUAAACUGCUUUUGUACGGAGCGAAAAGGUCCUUUCUAAUACAAGGGGCUCAUGACGGUACCGUAAGAAUAAGCACCGGCUAACUACGUGCCAGCAGCCGCGGUAA
rnacentral:rRNA from 1 species